rnacentral:rRNA from 1 species
AACAAGGUCUCCGUUGGUGAACCAGCGGAGGGAUCAUUACUGAGUUAUCUAAACUCCCAACCCUUUGUGAACCUUACCGUCGUUGCCUCGGCGGGCUGUGCCUACCCUGUAGCUACCCUGUAGCUACCCGGUAGGUACGCUGCAAGCCCGCCGGUGGACCACCAAACUCUGUUUUAAUACUGAAUCUCUGAAUGCUUCAACUUAAUAAGUUAAAACUUUCAACAACGGAUCUCUUGGUUCUGGCAUCGAUGAAGAACGCAGCGAAAUGCGAUAAGUAAUGUGAAUUGCAGAAUUCAGUGAAUCAUCGAAUCUUUGAACGCACAUUGCGCCCAUUAGUAUUCUAGUGGGCAUGCCUAUUCGAGCGUCAUUUCAACCCUUAAGCCUAGCUGCUUAGUGUUGGGAAUCUGCCCUGCUCCUGCAGCGCAGUUCCCCAAAGUGAUCGGCGGAGUUAGGGCAUACUCUAAGCGUAGUAAUAUCUCUUCUCGCUUCUGUAGUUGUCCUGGCGGCUUGCCGUUAAACCCCUAUAUUUCUAGUGGUUGACCUCGGAUUAGGUAGGAAUACCCGCUGAACUUAAGCAUAUCUCAUUUCUACAAUAAGGAGCAAAAGAAACCAACAGGGAUUGCCCUAGUAACGGCGAGUGAAGCGGCAACAGCUCAAAUUUGAAAUCUGGCCCUAGCGGUCCGAGUUGUAAUUUGUAGAGGAUGCUUUUGGUUAGGUGCCUUCCGAGUUCCCUGGAACGGGACGCCGGAGAGGGUGAGAGCCCCGUACGGUUGGACACCGAGCCUCUAUAUAGCUCCUUCGACGAGUCGAGUAGUUUGGGAAUGCUGCUCUAAAUGGGAGGUAAAUUUCUUCUAAAGCUAAAUACCGGCCAGAGACCGAUAGCGCACAAGUAGAGUGAUCGAAAGAUGAAAAGUACUUUGAAAAGAGGGUUAAAUAGCACGUGAAAUUGUUGAAAGGGAAGCGUUUGCGACCAGACUUUUUCCAGGCGGAUCAUCCGGUGUUCUCACCGGUGCACUUCGCCUGGUUUAGGCCAGCAUCGGUUCUCUUAGGGGGAUAAAGGCCUGGGGAACGUAGCUCCCUCGGGAGUGUUAUAGCCCCUCGCGUAAUACCCUUCGGGGGACCGAGGAACGCGCAUCUGCAAGGAUGCUGGCGUAAUGGUCGUCAACGACCCGUCUUGAAC